rnacentral:rRNA from 1 species
CAAUAGCGUAUAUUAAAGUUGUUGCAGUUAAAAAGCUCGUAGUUGGAUUUGUGGCGUACGGUGUGUUCCGGGCACUUGUUGUCUGAGUAACCUGCUGUUACCAUCCUUGGGUGGAACCUGUGUGGCAUUAGGUUGUCGUGCAGGGGAUGCCCAUCAUUUACUGUGAAAAAAUUAGAGUGUUCAAAGCAGGCUUAUGCCGUUGAAUAUAUUAGCAUGGAAUAAUAAGAUAGGACUUUUUUGCUAUUUUGUUGGUUUGCGCAAAGAGGUAAUGAUUAAUAGGGACAGUUGGGGGUAUUCGUAUUCCAUUGUCAGAGGUGAAAUUCUUGGAUUUUUGGAAGACGAACUACUGCGAAAGCAUUUACCAAGGAUGUUUUCAUUAA